GGUGGCGCGGGGCUCUGGGCAGCGCUGCGGGGCGGAGCGCGCGGGGAGCGGUCCUGCCAUUGCAGCGAGAACACCCAUGAGUCAGUCGCACAGUGACCGAGGGGAUGCUGACAGCACAUACAGCAGCUUUGCGCUUUGCUCUACUGUAAAUACCACGUCUCCGGUUACCCUCUGGGAAACCCAGCGACCCCAGCGCGGAGCUGUACCCCGUCUGGCAAGCAGCUGAAGGAAGCAGGCGGCCGUCUCUAAGUCUGAGGUUCCCAAGGAGGCCUGCAGACAAAUUAGCUGUGACUGGCUCUCCAGACACCUGUUCCCGGGGCGGCCUGUGGUCAUGUUAGCUGGAGGGAGGAGAAACGUCAUUUGGAAGAAGAGUCAAAUGAGAAAAGGGCAUCCGCGUGUGCAGGAGGAUGUCGCUGCUGGCUGAUAAGAGGCAUCGGCAGGAAGCAGACUAGCACGUGACGUGGCCGGUUGCCUGCUCGGAACUGGGCUGAAACCUCCACCCUCCCCAGCUCAUACUAUGUGUGAUAUGGAAACGACUGGCCAUCACCGAUCCUCUCGACUGACUUCAAGCUGCUGCUGCUGGCCUGGGGUGGUGGAGAGCUCUGGAGCCCAUCACUAACCCUGGCACCAGCCAGGGCCGUCUUGCUUCUUUAUCGCAGCAGGUGAAUGCUGACGGCCCUGGAAACAAGGGGCUGUGCUCCGGGGCCUGUCAGCUCAUGUGACUGUCCAGAACGCCCCCCAGGCGCUGGAAGUAAUUAUGAUCACGGAUGAAACCCAUCCACUUUCCAGAGACCCGUCAGCUUGGCUGGGGAGAACAGAUGGAGGCUACUGGAGUGAGCAUCACCAUCAUGGCUGCCACCCCCACUGUCUCCUGGGACCCUGGGACCUUGUCUUCCUGAUCCAGAGGGAUGUCCUGGCCAACCCAGGUCAGAGAGAGGAACCCAGUUGACAUCACCACCUCGACCGGCUCCAGCUGAAUCCCAGACACCACCUGGGAUGAAACGGGAUCAGCCUUUCAUAACAACAGCUCCAGCCCAUCUCAAACCAACAUCUACUCUUGUCCCCAAAAGGACAGUUAUUACCAUCUUUGGGACCAUCUAUGAGACUGUCUGACAAGGGGCUUUUUCCUUCUGAAAACUCUCUCCAGCUAAAGGCAGAGGGAGCAAGGGAUGGUGUUAAAAAUCAAAGCCUGACUUAGUACUUUCCAUUUCAAAUGCUUUCUCUGGUUUUCCUUCUUUUCUCUAUAAUAAAAGGGCAGAAGGAUUUUUAGUAGCGUGUUUGCCCUGGUAUGAAGCAGGCUGAGGGCUGUGUACCAAACCUCAGACCUUAUUUACCACUGGUUAACGUUGGACGGUGACUGGGUUAUAUUAACAGCUUUGGCCCAUUUAAUCCAUCUCCGUUAAUACAACAGGGCUGUCCACUGAGACAGCCUUGAUGUAGCUAUCCUUGACUGAGGUGCCCUGACCCAAGGAGGUCUUAAAGGAAGACCGUUCACUGACAGGUCAGUGAAGAAAAUGUACAAUGAAGCCAACUUUAAAUAUUCCCCAUAUGAAAAAUGCUGGCCCAAUUUCCU